rnacentral:rRNA from 1 species
CGGCGUACGGGUGCGGAACACGUGUGCAACUGCCUUUAUCUGGGGGGGAUACCCUUCGAAAGGAAGAUUAAUACCCCAUAAUAUGUUGGAUGGCAUCAUUCGACAUUGAAAACUCCGGUGGAUACGGAUUGGCUCGCGUGACAUUAGCUAGAUGGUAAGGUAACGGCUUACCAUGGCUACGAUGUCUAGGGGUUCUGAGAGGGUUAUCCCCCAACUGGUACUGAGACACGGACCAGACUCCUACGGGAGGCAGCAGUGAGGAAUAUUGCGCAAUGGAGGCAACUCUGACGCAGCCAUGCCGCGUGCAGGAAGAAGGCGCUACGCGUUGUAAACUGCUUUUAUCCGGGAAGAAACCCCAGGACGUGUCCUGGGUUGACGGUACCGGAGGAAUAAGCACCGGCUAACUUCGUGCCAGCAGCCGCGGUAAUACGAAGGGUGCAAGCGUUAUCCGGAUUCAUUGGGUUUAAAGGGUGCGUAGGCGGAGCGUUAAGUCAGUGGUGAAAUCCUGCAGCUCAACUGUAGACUUGCCAUUGAUACUGGCGCUCUUGAGUGCGCUUGAAGUGGGCGGAAUGUGCCGUGUAGCGGUGAAAUGCUUAGAUA